UACAGAGGGGGCAAGCGUUGUUCGGAAUUACUGGGCGUAAAGGGCGCGUAGGCGGCCUUCUAAGUCGAACGUGAAAUCCCCGGGCUCAACCCGGGAACUGCGUCCGAUACUGGAAGGCUUGAAUCCGGGAGAGGGAUGCGGAAUUCCAGGUGUAGCGGUGAAAUGCGUAGAUAUCUGGAGGAACACCGGUGGCGAAGGCGGGUCUCUGGGCCGAUACUGACGCUGAGGAGCGAAAGCGUGGGAAGCGAACAGG
rnacentral:rRNA from 1 species